rnacentral:rRNA from 1 species
GAUGAACGCUGGCGGCGUGCCUAAUACAUGCAAGUCGAGCGAACGGACGAGAAGCUUGCUUCUCUGAUGUUAGCGGCGGACGGGUGAGUAACACGUGGAUAACCUACCUAUAAGACUGGGAUAACUUCGGGAAACCGGAGCUAAUACCGGAUGAUAUUUUGAACCGCAUGGUUCAAAAGUGAAAGACGGUCUUGCUGUCACUUAUAGAUGGAUCCGCGCUGCAUUAGCUAGUUGGUAAGGUAACGGCUUACCAAGGCAACGAUGCAUAGCCGACCUGAGAGGGUGAUCGGCCACACUGGAACUGAGACACGGUCCAGACUCCUACGGGAGGCAGCAGUAGGGAAUCUUCCGCAAUAGGCGAAAGCCUGACGGAGCAACGCCGCGUGAGUGAUGAAGGUCUUCGGAUCGUAAAACUCUGUUAUUAGGGAAGAACAUAUGUGUAAGUAACUGUGCACAUCUUGACAGUACCUAAUCAGAAAGCCACGGCUAACUACGUG